GUGCAAACUCGAUCACUAGCUCUGCAUGAUGUUGCAGAGGUGAGGGGAACCAGGUUUGCUAAAGUAACUGUGGUGAUGGAGCUGUAUCAGCCGCGGGCACUACCCAGUGGUUCCUUCCAUCCCACUACAUUG
ensembl:snoRNA SNORA66 Small nucleolar RNA SNORA66